AAAAUGAUGACCGUUACCGGUCAGGGCCUGCUGUUGCCUGAAAAAGGGUAA
rnacentral:ncRNA from 1 species